rnacentral:rRNA from 1 species
AGAGUUUGAUCAUGGCUCAGGAUGAACGCUAGCGGCAGGCUUAAUACAUGCAAGUCGUGGGGCAGCAUGUCCCGCAGCAAUGCGGGAUGAUGGCGACCGGCAAACGGGUGCGGAACACGUACACAACCUUCCUUUAAGUGGGGGAUAGCCCAGGGAAACUUGGAUUAAUACCCCGUAAUAUAUAGAAGCGGCAUCGCUUUUAUAUUAUAGCAGCAAUGCGCUUGAAGAUGGGUGUGCGGCUGAUUAGAUAGUUGGCGGGGUAACGGCCCACCAAGUCGACGAUCAGUAACUGGUGUGAGAGCACGACCAGUCACACGGGCACUGAGACACGGGCCCGACUCCUACGGGAGGCAGCAGUAAGGAAUAUUGGUCAAUGGACGCAAGUCUGAACCAGCCAUGCCGCGUGGAGGAUGAAGGUCCUCUGGAUUGUAAACUUCUUUUAUCUGGGAAGAAAUCCAUUUUUUCUAAAGUGGUUGACGGUACCAGAUGAAUAAGCACCGGCUAACUCCGUGCCAGCAGCCGCGGUAAUACGGAGGGUGCAAGCGUUAUCCGGAUUCACUGGGUUUAAAGGGUGCGUAGGCGGACAAGUAAGUCAGUGGUGAAAUCUCUGGGCUUAACUCAGAAACUGCCGUUGAUACUAUUUGUCUUGAAUAUCAUGGAGGUAAGCGGAAUAUGUCAUGUAGCGGUGAAAUGCUUAGAU